GACUGCCUGGCUGCGGCAAGUUGAAACUGACGAUAAGUGAUUCGGAAUCGGUAUUCGGUAACUGAUUUCCAAGUGCAACUUCCAACUACUGUGGCGUGUUGUCUAUGAGACCUGGUUGCAAGAUUGAAGGUUCGUUAUCCUGGUUGCAAGACUGAAGGCAUGAGGUGGGUUUCUGCAGGUUUUGACUGAAUCACAGACUUUGAAGGAAGGCAAAUGGACGUUGUGCACGAAGAUUGCGGACGGUCUGGAACAUGUCAACAACUCCCUCGUACUGCAUGCGCUCAAGAACUUGACUCAGCGUAAUAAAUACUCCAGUGCGACCAACACCCGCGCUAGAAAUUCAGAAUAACAAUU